GAAAUCUAUUUUCAGUUAGUAGAAACUGUACUUCAAUUACCCAUACAACCAUUCUGGUUUUCACUUUCAGUACAGUAAUCCAUAAAUUACAUGUGAUA